AGUAAUAACUCUAUGCAUAUCACAACUUGUGCUGAUGUACCAACAUGAUAUUAUUUAUUUGGUUGUGAUAUGUGUAAAUUUGUAUCAUUUCAGGAAAACAAUCGAUCUGAGGUUGAGAGGUUGGAGAAAGAAAGGCGUGCAGACUUCAUGAACAUGAUGAAGGGUUUUGUUGUUAACCAGGUUGGAUACGCAGAAAAAAUGGGCAACGUCUGGGCAAAGGUUGCAGAAGAGAGUAGCCAAUACGAUAUAGAGAAGCAGAGCAGCUAACAAAAAAAAAGAGAUACAUAGAGUGAACGAACGAUGUUCAUUUUGGGCAUAACCAUACCAAAUCCAUGUUUGGCACAGAAUCACAUUGCGUAAUAAUUGUUGUCAAAAAGUGUUAGUAGUUUCCUUAUCAUAUGUUGUAUCUAUCUGAUAGAGUUUGGUAAACGUUCUUCUUUGUUUUUCGUUAGUUGCUGUAAAUUAGUUUUUCUAGAAGCAUCUCUGUCUGACUGCAUCUGCAUUGACCUCAUAUACCCAUUGUUUUCACUUUUCUGGUAUAUGCCGCAAAAGAUAUAUGAGUUUGGUAAACGUUCUUCUUUG